AAGGAUUUAAGUUAAAUAAACUUGUAACCUUCAAAGCUACCAAUAAAGUCCUCUCUUUAAGCCUUA
rnacentral:tRNA from 1 species